UACAGAGGUCCCAAGCGUUGUUCGGAUUCAUUGGGCGUAAAGGAUGCGUAGGCGGCGCGGUAAGUCGGGUGUGAAAUCUCGGGGCUUAACUCCGAAACUGCAUUCGAUACUGCCGUGCUUGAGGACUGGAGAGGAGACUGGAAUUUACGGUGUAGCGGUGAAAUGCGUAGAUAUCGUAAGGAAGACCAGUGGCGAAGGCGGGUCUCUGGACAGUUCCUGACGCUGAGGCACGAAGGCCAGGGGGAGCAAAACGGGG
rnacentral:rRNA from 1 species